rnacentral:rRNA from 1 species
AUUGAACGCUGGCGGCAUGCUUUACACAUGCAAGUCGAACGGCAGCGCGGGCUUCGGCCUGGCGGCGAGUGGCGAACGGGUGAGUAAUGCAUCGGAACGUGCCCAGUAGUGGGGGAUAGCCCGGCGAAAGCCGGAUUAAUACCGCAUACGACCUGAGGGUGAAAGCGGGGGACCGAAAGGCCUCGCGCUAUUGGAGCGGCCGAUGUCGGAUUAGCUAGGUGGUGGGGUAAAGGCUUACCAAGGCGACGAUCCGUAGCUGGUCUGAGAGGACGACCAGCCACACUGGGACUGAGACACGGCCCAGACUCCUACGGGAGGCAGCAGUGGGGAAUUUUGGACAAUGGGGGCAACCCUGAUCCAGCCAUGCCGCGUGCGGGAAGAAGGCCUUCGGGUUGUAAACCGCUUUUGUUCGGGAAGAAAUCCUCUGGGCUAAUACCCCGGGGGGAUGACGGUACCGGAAGAAUAGCACCGGCUAACUACGUG